rnacentral:lncRNA from 1 species
CCCAGGUCUGUCUCAUCCCUGGGACAGAGGCAGCCAAAGGCUGGUGAGCAGAGCUGGCGGCCAGGCCCCGCAGGCAGAAGCAGGCCCUCCCUUGGGAUUUAAGGCCCUCCAGUUGCAUUCCUCAAAUUCUUAGCAGUUUAUCUUUGAAUUUGUGUUUUGAAAGUGACAACUGAUGGGAAGCAUAUGCCAGGGGCUUCAGACCUCAGCUCAGGCCUUCACUGCUGCCCUUGGCCCAGUGAGGAUCUGAGUCCAGGCACAGCAAAGGUGAAGGUCAGAUGUGCAAGGGCCCAGGAAUAGAACAGUCUGCACAGCCCAGGGAGUGUCUCCGGGCCCAAGGGAGUAUAAGAAGGAAAGUAGAGACCUGGGGACCACAGAAGAAAGAAAAAAACCUUCCUUCCUGGUUUUUGAGCAAAGGGUCCCAACCUUUCGAUAAUCUCAAGUCCUGUAACGUGUCACUGACAGGCACCAUCACUGUGAUCAAGCAGUUGUCUGCAUUCCCAGAUGAGGCUGUCUUAAGAAGAAUUUCAUGUGACUGUCAAGGGAAAACUACCUUCAGUGCUUUCGGCUGUCAGAAUCCUGUCAUUGCUGCAGAUGUUGUUCACUGUGACUCAGGCUGUGAGGGGUGCAGGACACCAUGUCAUUUGGGACUGAAGUCUGCAGAUAAGAAAUUCAAGCUCAUGACAUCAGCCAGGGCUUAUUUGGUGUGGACACAGCCUGGGAUUUCAUGUCAGACAAACCCAAAUUCAAAUAUUGACCUUGGAGAAGAUAAUUAACCUUUUUGGAAUUUGCAUUAAAGCUGAAUUCAGGUUUCACUUGCUAUCCUAAAGUAGAUUAUCUCCAUGAAACCUUUGCAAGCUAAAAUGGUAUACAGUGAAGAGGCGGUUACCUUAGGACACCUCUUGCUAAUAGAGGCACAAAAUUAAGAUAAAGCACAGAUGCUCACAGCCACAUUUCAGUGUUCUGGAGGCGGGAUGCUGAGGUGCUGAGUGUGGUUUGGGGGACGCACCAUGGCAUGGCCACUCUCACUGCUUGGUUGUGCACCGCUGCCUCUGUAACUGCUCAGCUACCUGUAAGACAAAUAGUACUUUCACUUCCUGCCUUUUGUUCCAUAAUGGUGAAUUUCUUUCCAUGUGAAAACAGGAACUAAUGCAGAUCUUUCCUAAAAGCAAAGUGCAUAAAGGGAGGAGGGGUGGGAGGGGGUUAUCCACAGUUAACCAAGCAAUUGAUUUUUUUUUUUUUUUCCAUUCAAAAAAUAGUUGCUGAGUGCUGGGUAGCAGGAAUUUAACAGUGAAGGGGAACGUGGUUGCUGUCCUCCUGAAGACUACAGUCUAAAGGAUGUGAUGACUAGAUAUGAGUAGCUAAGAAUAAACAAGCAUGCAGGCUGUGGUUGUGGCUGGGA